rfam:Otolemur garnettii contig059097, whole genome shotgun sequence.
UCGGGAAUAGAUUUCAAGAGUUGAACUCUUUCUUUCUGAUAGAUUAGUGGAGAAAUCACAAAAUUCUGAGUGGC